rnacentral:misc_RNA from 1 species
GUAUCAAGAAAGUAACAGGAGUGAAAGGGUCGUUUUACGUGCAUUUUGGCGAAAAGACAAACAACUAUUUACACUCUUCAAGCGUGACUAGUGGAAAUCUCGCUAAACUUGCAGGGCAGCCUCUCGAGCUUAGAGGUGGAAACGAAACUACUGACCAUGAAACAAGUAUUGUAUUUACAUUGCACCCCCUUGGGAUUCAAGCUCUCCGUGCCACUACAACACAGUAUGCUCAACUCUAGAGAACAUCUUUUAGACCUAAUAGCUUCCAAAAUUUAAUUCUGAGCAUUUAACAAAGGAGGUGAUUCUAUAUGGUACUAUAACAGUCAAGCCCUCAAACCUGAAGUUACGAAAAAGUGCAGGGAGAUGGAAAUUGUACCAUUUGAUAACCCUCCUUAACUACUGUCAUCAAAAGACUGUGGAGUAAAUGAUCAAUAGGUUAUAAGGCAUGCGGAUAUUGGCCUUCUCUCGUCUGAUUCAUUUACAACAAAUACCAUAGUGUGAAGACGUGUGCUUUUGGAAGCAUUCAAGUGUGGUUGUUCUCGUGAAGUUUGUUGAGUGAUGCAAAGACUGUCAGAGACAGCUAAGAAAAGUCAGCAGUUAAUGAAAAUAUCACCUGAAUACAGUUAAUUAUAACUGGAAAUAAACUGUCAUGAAAUAAAACAAAUUAACCCUUCAACUUCCAAGAUCUGAUUGUCAAUAAAUUCUCCCCUCUAACUGA